CGUGUAGGCGGUUUGUCAAGUCGGGUGUGAAAGCCUGGGGCUCAGCCCCAGAAGUGCAUCCGAAACUAGCGAGCUAGAGCGCGAUAGAGGAGGGUGGAAUUCCUGGUGUAGCGGUGAAAUGCGUAGAUAUCAGGAGGAACACCGGCGGCGAAGGCGGUCCUCUGGAUCGUUGCUGACGCUGAGACGCGAAAGCGUGGGGAGCAAACAGGAUUAGAUACCCUGGUAGUCCACGCCUUAAACGAUGGGUACUAGGUGUUCGGGGUGUUGACCCCCUGAGUGCCGCAGUUAACGCAUUAAGUACCCCGCCUGGGGACUACGGCCGCAAGGUUAAA
rnacentral:rRNA from 1 species